rnacentral:rRNA from 1 species
UACGGGAGGCAGCAGGGGGGAAUAUUGCACAAUGGGCGCAAGCCUGAUGCAGCCAUGCCGCGUGUAUGAAGAAGGCCUUCGGGUUGUAAAGUACUUUCAGUCGUGAGGAAGGUGUUAAGGUUAAUAACCUUAGCAAUUGACGUUAGCGACAGAAGAAGCACCGGCUAACUCCGUGCCAGCAGCCGCGGUAAUACGGAGGGUGCGAGCGUUAAUCGGAAUUACUGGGCGUAAAGGGCACGCAGGCGGUUAAUUAAGUUGGAUGUGAAAUCCCCGGGCUUAACCUGGGAAUGGCAUUCAAGACUGGUUAGCUAGAGUCUUGUAGAGGGGGUAGAAUUCCAUGUGUAGCGGUGAAAUGCGUAGAGAUGUGGAGGAAUACCGGUGGCGAAGGCGGCCCCUGGACAAAGACUGACGCUCAUGUGCGAAAGCGUGGGGAGCGAAACAGGGAUUAGAUACC